rnacentral:tRNA from 1 species
GCGGGUGUAACUCAGUCUGGUAGAGUCGGUGAUUUCCAAUCACUCGGUCGCAGGUUCAAAUCCUGUCACCCGCUCCA